UCUAUGUCCUCAAGGAGCUCUUAGUCAAAGUUCUUCACCUUUAUAUGAUACUCUAUCCAAAUCUUUAUUUUGUUUCAGCAGUAGUGGCCCUGGAUUGCUGGCAAUGGGUGCAUCAUACUGCUAAUGGUUUACAGUCAGUGGUGUGUUUCUUACUACAAGAUUAUCUCAUUCACCAGACAGCUUAGGAGAAAGUACUUGCAUGAAAGUAAAGGAGUUUUUGUUGGACAUCUUUUAGAAAUGCCCGAGAUACAUGAGGAUCAGCUGUGUAAAUACUCAUUAUUAGGCUGUACUUGGUUAUUCUGAGUCACAGCGCUCUCUUGUGCUUGUUUCUAAACUAACUGGUCCUGCACUGCCUCUGUGGUUUUGUAGUUCUAGCUGCACUUCUGGGAUCCCAAACCCCAGUGCCAUCCUGUCCCUUUAUUCUCAUUUGAGUUCAACAAAUGAAGUUAUGGCGACAAGGUUUCUGUGAACCUGGAUUCUUAGGAGGGAGUUCUCUGCACAGUAAAUAUUCGUCACUGGAAGGGUAUGUCUCACCACCGCAAAUUAGCUCUCAUGCAAACGAGGCGCCUGGGACUCCUGCCCCUUGUAUCUGUAACUCUGCCAUUGUGAACACGUGGCUUCCUGAGUUUUCCUGGAGGAUAGCUCCAUUCCACCUACAGGAGGCAAGGAGGUUAGAAGGUCACAUGCUGAAGGCUUUUAGGUAUCAGGCCCAUCAUUUCCUUACUGCACUGGAAGCUGAGAGACCACCCUGUUGUGUCCCCAGAAAGAGGAGGGAAAAGGUUGCCUCUGAGAGCCUGAUAUGCUAUUACUUACCAGCCACCCUGGAAAGCCUGCCCUUGCUUGGACUAAGCAAAUUCCUAUGGCACCUAAAAGCGAUUCAGGAAGAGAAGCAGAGAGAUCCAGACACAAGUUGGGUGCUGUCGGAAUGUUUAGGAACUAUCCUCUACAGCUGCAGGUAAAGUUGGUGGGACGUCAGCAGCAUCUUCUACAAAAAGAAUAAAGAUACUAAUUCUCUAUAUUUCUUUCAGACAAUUGUAAACAGCGUAUGUUGUGUUGCUAAAGGUGUGAGAAAACAGCAUGCUGAUAUGCUGUUGUUGAGAAUGUGUAUUGGUACAGCUUUCAUGAAGGCAGUUUGAUGGUAGCUAUCAGUAUUGAAGAUGAAUAUACUCUUUGAUCCAGGUUUUAGGAUUUUCACUUCUAGGAAUUUUUGAUCCUGCAGAUAUUUGUGCAAAGACUUUCAUACAAGGAUUUUCACUGUAAUAGUAAAAGAUUGGGGGAAGGUUUCCUCAGCACGACAUAGUAAGUUAUUGUACAUCCUUAUACCAUCACCCUUAAAUAGGAAGAGGUCCUCUCUGUGUACUGAUAUUGAACACUAGUAGGAGGGAGCAGAAAAUAUAAAAUGACUAACAGUGCAUAUAGUGUACUCUCAUAUUGUGCACAUGAAAAAAGAGAAAGUGUGGGUAUUUCUUCAUGCUAUGGAUUUUAUUCUUUAUAUGACUUUUCUGUCAUUCCUAGGGAUUUGAGGCUCCGGGGUAGUAUUAGUCUACCAAAUGAUAGACUGUGAAAACGAAUAUGAUGAAAACUGGCAAAUAAUAACAGAGUUCAACAAAGGGACUGGAUAGCAACUAGACAUUCACAAAUUGGUAGUUUUCCAGUUCACCAGCAGCAGACAGUUAGAAAAUGCAACAGAAAGAAAUUCACAACAGAAACCUAAGUAUAAAAUACCUGAGAAUAAACAUUCAAACAUACAUUCAACAUUGUAUAGUAAAUAUAAAAGAUCUUUAUAAGAUAAAAGGUAAACAUUAUAGGCCAUAGAAGAAAACCUAAGUAAAUGGAGAAUAUUAUUAUUCAUAGA